CUUAUAGUUCAUUAUUCUGACAAACACUGCAGGAGAAUCUUGAUAAAUCUCUCUUCUUGAAGCAAGGGAAGGAAAAAGAACACAGAGACAUUCUUGUGGCCCCUUCUCCCAUGGAAUAGGAUCAGGAAGGAAAAAAGAAGCAUGGAACAUUCUCCCCAAGGACACUUUCAGGGCACCUGGUGUGAAUGUAGCACUCUCCCAGCCUUGUUGCAGAUGGCCAAGAGACACUGUUGCUAUGGCAAAAUAGGAUCUAAAGAGGAAGAUAUUUCCCCCUCCCCAAUUUCUCCUUGCCCAGCUGCUCAUACUGAGAAGAUCAGAUGUUCUGCAUGAAGAUCCUAAGGGUCAGUUCCUUACAUUUCCAGAUACGAGAUGUGGUAGAGUUUGGGCUGCAACUGUUCAUCACCAGAAUCCCAACCUGGAAAACUACAAUUUGAUUUUGUGAGAUUUCGAAGGUUUUUUUCCCCUCUUUCAUACCUUAACAAAUCAUAUAUUCUCUCCACAUAGCUGGAAAGCUGUUAGCACUGCACAGAUAAUCGUUAUAGCACUCAAUAAAAAAACACAUUUUAAUUGUAAACCUCAAAUUGUAAAGAAAACUAAAUUAACAAACAUAUCACAGAAACCAUUUCAAAAUGAAUAGUGUAUAUGUAUGAUUAAUAUGCAAUAAACAUUAUUAACUACUCAAAAGGGAAAUGCCAGCAUAUCUUUAAAGGCAAAGUACUAUAUUUGAGUCUAAUUUUCAUAAACACUACAAGUCAUAAAUUAACUUCAAAUCAGGAGAUAGAUUUUCAACUACCAGAUUACAGAAUCUUCUAGGCCUGUACCAUUUAGUUCAUUGCCUCAGCUACUCUUUUUAAAUGGAAAGAGUAAAACUGAAGGGAUCAAGAGGUGAGAUGUAUGUAUUUAAUUAGUUUCCACCUUCUUUAAUUUGGGGAAUUCAAAUUAAGGAGAUUUGUUUACAAAACAAAUCAAGUCCCUCCCACAAGAGUGCACUUCUGAUUAUGAAGUCAUUUUAUCUUGAUUGAGGCUUUUUGAUGCUUAACCAAAUACUUUAUUUACAUAAACACAUUAUGUACAUCGCAGUUAGCAUUGAACUUCCAGUCCCUGUGCAUCAGCCUAUUAAAUUGGGAAAAGGUGGAAACAGCGCUCCUAAGGCCUUUUCGGGAAUACCGAAGAAAGAGGGAGGUUAGUUCCAACUCGCUUACUAUCGAAUCAAGUUUAUAAAAACUACCGUAUUCAAUUUCUCAUCUUUCAAGCCCGUAGCAAUUUUGGAAAAUGGCCGUCCCUUCCAUUUCCCAGUAGGGUCAAUUUAUAUUAACUGCGAUCCUCCAAGCAAGCGUGAUUUUUUUUAC